rnacentral:rRNA from 1 species
GAUGAACGCUGGCGGCGUGCCUAAUACAUGCAAGUCGAGCGAACAGACGAGGAGCUUGCUCCUCUGACGUUAGCGGCGGACGGGUGAGUAACACGUGGAUAACCUACCUAUAAGACUGGGAUAACUUCGGGAAACCGGAGCUAAUACCGGAUAAUAUAUUGAACCGCAUGGUUCAAUAGUGAAAGACGGUUUUGCUGUCACUUAUAGAUGGAUCCGCGCCGCAUUAGCUAGUUGGUAAGGUAACGGCUUACCAAGGCAACGAUGCGUAGCCGACCUGAGAGGAUGAUCCGCCACACUGGAACUGAGACACGGUCCAGACUCCUACGGGAGGCAGCAGUGGGGAAUAUUGGGCAAUGGGCGCAAGCCUGAUGGAGCAAUACCGCGUGAGUGAAGAAGGUCUUCGGAUCGUAAAGCUCUGUUGUUGGGGAAGAAAAAAAGCAUAAGAAUAUCUGCAUGUCUUGACGGUACCUAAACAAUAAGCAACGGCUAACUUCGUG